rnacentral:rRNA from 1 species
UACAGAGGGUGCGAGCGUUAAUCGGAAUUACUGGGCGUAAAGCGCGCGUAGGCGGCUUUGCAAGUCGAGUGUGAAAUCCCCAGGCUCAACCUGGGAACUGCAUUCGAGACUGCAUAGCUAGAGUAUGGGAGAGGGAAGUGGAAUUUCAGGUGUAGCGGUGAAAUGCGUAGAUAUCUGAGGGAACAUCAGUGGCGAAAGCGACUUCCUGGACCAAUACUGACGCUCAUGUGCGAAAGCGUGGGGAGCAAACAGG